rnacentral:lncRNA from 1 species
GCUGUUCUCAUGAUAGUGAAUAAGUCUCAAAAGAUCUGAUGCUUUUAUAAGAGGGCAGUUCCCCUGCACAGGCCCUCUUGCCUGUUGCCAUGUAAGACAUGCCUUUGCUCUUCCUUCAUCUUCUGCUGUGAUCAUGAGGCCUCCUCAGCCAUGUGAGGCAAUCACUUCUGAAGAGUCCAGCCUUGGAAUGAUACUAGAAUUCUGGAAGAAGAAUCUUGUCUCAAGGCAUCUGAAAGUUUCAGUGGUGUAUUUUUCUUCUUAACUGCAGAGCUUUGACUUUCUGGAACAAAAGAGGAAGAGGAGUUGUGGCAAAGACUGGAACUAACCCUUAACCUAGAAGAGAAACUGGUCAGACAUGGAUGGAUGGAUUUGGUUCAGCCCUGUUCAGACUUGCUACUCAUUGCAUCAAUGUUCCCGUUCAAUCCGUCAGACGCACCCAUGUCCCUUCUGUAGAAAUCAGUGAAUCAUAUUGAAUCCUGAGUAAGCGAUCGUGAGCUUUACCAUUUUAAGCUCUAUCUAUUGCUUCUGUCUCUUACUGCCUUUUCUGUCUUGCCUGCCUGUUUGCUGUCACCCUCACAUCAAUGUCUGUCAAGCAUUUGAAUAGGGAAGUAGGUUGAGAAGGGGAUUUGGAAUGAGGAGUUACUUUGAAAAUAAUUGGGCUAAAAUUAAGGAGACCUUAUUUGGUUCUGGUCCUCGUUGCUUUUAUUAAUCUAAAUAAUAAGCACUCUGAAAGAAAAUGAUAUUUAUUUAGCAUGGGUACUGCAAUGGGAAUACACAUACCGUAGUAAACUAUGUGCUUAUUCAGGAGGGUAAAGAAAGGCAAUGGUUUUUAAAGAAAAAUGAAGAGGAGUACACAAUUAUUUCGAGAUAAUUAUUCCUGGUUACAAGGAUCAAUAAUAAGGAUGGCACCAGUUUGAAGUCAGAUAGGCAGUUGCUGGGCAGAUAUCCUUGCAGAAGUAUUUUUUUUUGUGCAAGGUUGCAAUGGCCUUUGUGCAAGGUUGUGGUUUUGCAGUCUUUUCUGACAAUUCCUGUUGUCAGGCAUUCGUGAAUGGGAACCCUUUCUUCAUUGCUUUCCCGAGCUCCAUCUGUCAGGAUUUUUAACACAAUUGCCUCCAUUUUAAUUCUGACAAUUUUCACGUUUUUAACUAGCUCCUUGACCUUGAAUGAAUUCCAUUAUGUUUCUGGAUAUAAUUUAUAAAAUUAUUAAAUUGCAAUAAAUAGUGUUAUUGAGUUUUUAUCAGUCUCAUACUUUAUGAUUUUUACAUAAAUUGGUUAUUUUUUGGAAAACAG